rnacentral:sRNA from 1 species
UUUUAGCCCCGAUUGAAGUGAAAAUCCUUUUUUUGCAAAAAAAAAAGAUUGCAACGGAAAGCGGGAAUAGCU